AUUCACCUCCCAAUACUGCUAAUUAAAAUCUUGCUGAUCACACCAAACUAGCUCAAGUAAUGGGCUGGUUUAUUACUGAAGCCAGAGCAUGCUGAUGCUAAUGAAUCAAAUAACAAAAUUGAAUUUGUGACCUAUCUACUGUCUAGCUCUCAACUGAUGCAUAGCCAUUAUGUUCUUUUUGUGUGUAUAGUUUUUCAAGGUACCAAACUAGUUAGCAACAUGAUAGAUCAACAUGCUCUUGUUAUGUAUUAAAACAAGCUACUGAUUAUAAUGCUCUGUCACGGAUCUCUUGCGAUGAAUCUAAAUAAUAAAGUCAUUUUAGAAUAUGUGAUUGUUUUUAAAAGAAUGUAGUAUUUUGAUGUCAUUUUUUACUAGAGUUUUUUACUCAAGCCGUUGGAUACAGCAAUGUUACGUACCUAUCAAAUUUGCCUAGAAAAAUACCCAGAAUUUACAAUCUGAAAACAAGAUUCAUUUGUUUCUGCCCCCACAACAACUUCAAAUCUAUACUGUACAUGUCAAAUUUGAGGCAAUUUUUGGAGUAGAUAGCAUUUUUGGCGUUAGAUUAUACAUGCUAAUCUUGUAGUAUUCUUCUGUUCGAUGCCCAAGCAUUGGGUUGCAGAUUUUCUUUAUCAUGGCACUCUAUAGCUUGUCUUAUACAAACUCACUCCAUUUUCUGUUAGUCAUGCAUAUCAUACUUUCACAGAUCAAAGCAAUUGAAGUUUCAGUUGAUAUACACUCAAUUUACUUUUGCACAAAAUGUUUCUCAUUUACCUUCUUCUGAAUGCAAUUGACCAGUAUGAUACUACACAAGCAGAUAGGAAGUAGAACAGUCAAGCUUGGGCUUACUAACCUUCAAUAGUUGUGUCUCUACUAUAAUUUGGCACUUCAUGAUGUUGUUGUUCCUCAACAGAUUCUAUAUGCUGCAAGAACACCAUUAUAAUUGUCAUUAGUUGUAGGUUAAUAACUUGAUAUGCCAGUUCUCAGAUCUGUGCUACAAUUUACAACUUUCGAUGAAGAGAUAUUCAAUUUCCCAUUGGAAAGACAUGAAGACAAAUGUUUCCCUUGAUUUUUAUGACAUAUAUCUGAAUGAGUGGAUGUUUGAAGGGAUGGCCUUAAAUCUUACUCCCAAGAUUUUGUUUGUUGCUUAAAAUUAACUUACACCAAUAUUUGUGCAAUUUUUUUUAUGUUAAUACCUGGACUUUUUUCGCAUAUAUUUAUUUAAUCUAGAUGACAAGGCUAAAAAUGGGGUUCAUAUAUUUGUUUAUACCUUUGCUCAUUCUUUUUAUUGAUGACGUUGAGUCUAGGUUCACUACGACGAUCAAGAACCUAACGACACGUGUUUUGUUCUUAGAGUCACAGGGUGUGGCUGGGAGUAUGAGCUUGAGAGAGGUGUCCGAUGCAUCUAGUGGGCAACAAGUUUCAAAAGAAAAUGAAUAGGAAGGCAAUCAAUCCUGAACACCACAAAAUGGAUUGAGCAGGUUCGCACUGAACGGGGCAGUGACGUUAUAAUUGUCAUUGUUGGGAACAAAACUGACCUUGUUGAUAAGAGGCUUUUGGAGGUGAUGAUUCAGAUGUUGGAUCCCCCAGGAUUAAUCUCACAGCAACAGCAAAAUCAAAUCCUCCUGUAGAUUCUCAGUCACUUAGAGAGUCUGACAUUCAAUUAAAUAUGUUUCUUUUAGAUUUUAUUUUAUUAUUUUUUUUUUUUUAGGAUUUGGGUGAAUUUUAUAAU